rnacentral:lncRNA from 1 species
ACGGGCACUUCCCAACGUGGGGGAGUCUCUUCUUGGCUUGAAAGCCAGUCGAGGAGGACGUGUUAAAGCAAUGGCAGCAUACACGGUGAAGCUCAUCACUCCUGAUGGUGAGAAGGAGUUUGCAUGCCCCGAUGACAUCUACAUCCUUGACCAUGCUGAGGAGGCAGAAGAGAUUGACCUCCCCUACUCAUGCAGGGCUGGCUCAUGCUCUUCAUGUCUUGGCAAGAUUGUGAAGGGGACUGUGGAUCAGUCUGAUGCUAGCUUCCUUGAUGAUGACCAGAUAGAGGAAGGCUGGGUUCUCACCUGUGUUGCUUAUCCUACGUCUGAUGUUGUCAUCGAGACACACAAAGAGGAAGAGUUUAGCGGUUAAAUAAGAUCUCUUUCUGUUUGUGUCGUCGGUGGUGUUCCGGCAGGGGGGGUGGAUUUUAUGAUUGUUAUCUCUACUGUUACUGAGCAUGUAAUUUAAUUUGUCCCAAGUUUUUCUUCCUUCAUUUGUAGUCUCAAAUGAAACUGCGUUUACUUAAUAAAUCUUAGUGUAUGGGAUUGUUUCCUCAACCGCCAUGGAUCUCUCUCUCUCUCUCUCUCUCACGCACACAGACGUGUACUUUAAUUUGCAAGUGUUUCUGUAAAAAUGGAUUUGUUUUGGAUGCUUAAUCUGAAACAUUUUUAGCUUAAAAACACAGUAUCGAACACAGCCUUAGUGGCCUUCACUUGCAACCAGGUGCCUUUUAGCUUAGUUGGGCUAAGAUCUUCUCUAUGCCACAGAUAAAAGUAAGGGAAGGCAAGAAGAGCCCUGUACCGAGAGAAUUACAGUUGCAACUACAACUAUAAAUUAAGAGAAUAAGUCUUUUCCUGCUCAUUGAGUAAUGCUUUUUUUUUUCGUUCCUUCAUGUUUUUGUGUGUGAGAAGUGUGGAGGAAGAUUAAAUAUCGAUUUUAUAAAAUUAAAUUUAAGAUUAUAGUUAAAUUUUUUUUGAAAGAUUAGAGAUAAAAAUAGAUAAAAAAAAAAAGAGAGUCAAUUGCUCAAAAGGCAUGGAAAUUCUCAAUCUAGUCUUUGAAGUUUUAAUUUACACAUAUUUGGUCCUAAAAUUUUAGGAGUUUAUGUUUUGAUUCUAAAAUUGUUUUUUAUAUUUCAGUCCAUAAGUAUCGAGAGGUGAGAGAUAAAAUUAUCAAAAAAUAAGAAGAGAUAGAAAGAGAUUGAUCAGGCAAAUUUUGGUUUGAAAAAAAUUGAUCUUUGUAUUAAUGGAUUCAUCUUAUAUAUAAGAUUUUUGGAGCUUUUUUUAUUUAUUUAGUUUUAAAAAUUAGAAUGAGGCUUAAGAAUUUUUUUUUUAAUUCAAUCCAAUUAGUUUUUAGACCGGUUGAAAGGUAUUUUAAAUUAAAAAUGAGUUUAAUAAAGUUUUUGAGAUAUUUUUAAGACGUUUAUAAGUAAAAAUAAAUUGAAAAAGUAGAUUUCAAGGGUAAAAAAAAUCUUGAAACUUGAUUUUGGGAAAAAAUGAUAAGAAUUUAAACUUUUUUUAUAAAAAAAAUUAGGGUGAAUAAUAUAUUUUACACUCCUUGAAGAAAGAAAAAAAGAAAAGAAAGAAAGCAAGCCAAGCAAGCGGAUGCCUGUGCUUUUUUAUUUUAGGAAAGGCAUGUGGGCCAUCCUCCUAUGCCUAGGCAUCUUUUUAUUUAUUUAUUUAUAGAUUACCCAUCAAUUUUUUUAAUUUAUUUUUUAAAAAAGUUUUGAAUAAAAUUUACUAUAAAUAAAAUAAUAUUUAAAUUAUUAUCCUAUUUAACAUAGUUUUCAAAUAAAUCUAUAGUUUUUAAUAGUAAUAUUAAUAAUUACUUAGUGAAUUGUUAAUUAUAUAUGACUACAUAUAUAAAAAACAAUACUACUAAUAAUAAAAAAUAUGUUUUCGUACAAAAAAACACACACACACACACAUUCAAAAAAUUGCACCUCGCGUGGGAGAAAAAAACCAGUUAGUGACUACAUAAAAACUCCUCAAUGUUUUGGCAGUAUAAGGAAACGUUUGUCAGCCUCAUAAACGAGUAGUAACAUAAUUUUGGACGAUGAAGCUUCCAUGAACAAAGCUGUCUAGAAAAUAAUCAAGUCCUUUGAAAUAAUUCUAUAAGAGUCUCUGCUCUUGAUCCCUCUUCAUCGCCCAAAUCAUCAUCCUCUUCAUCGAUAAUCGGUGGAGGCUGCAAUGUAGUAUCAUUCAAGUACUCUUCUAUCCGCAGUGAAAGUUGGUGAUGAUCCUGGUGUGGAUUUGAGGUCUCAGCAUCUUCUUCUGCCUCUUCUUGUUCAUGAGGUGGGGCUACAGUUACCUCAUUCAAAGAACCUAGGGAAGAGGACCGCGAUAGAGUCCCGGAUGCCACUGUGAUUUCAUCCUGCUCAUCGAUAGUUGUAUCUAGUGAACAUACUGAUCUUGUAGCAACUGAGAGUGCUGCCGAGUCGCGUUUAGACCUCUCCUUCACCCUCUUGCACCAGCUGUGCAGAGAAUCUCUAACACUCUCAGCAACCAAUGCCUUCCUAAACCGUGAUCCCAUCUGAAUGGUGAAAAAGGUUCAAUGAACCCUCUUCUGAAUGGAAUGUGAAAAGAUGGCAUAUCUAACAUUGAAAAGGAAUCGCACAAACCUGUGUAAUAAUGACAUUCAAGGGCACUGUGCUGUAGCUACACCAGAUCUGAACUAGAACCCUGCAUUUACAAAUAUAAGAUGGUCACUGAAAUCCAAAGAUUAUUAACUGCCAACGGUAGAAAUUCUCGAAAGCAAUUGGACAACACCAGCAACCUGUUCUUACUACUAACACACUCAAAAUCAAAAUUACAAAAACUUUUUCUUUGUUGUUGGAUUUUCAGGAAAAAACAAAAGUGCUAAUUAAUCAGGUUAGAUGCACAUGAACAUUGGUUGGGUGCUUGUGGCAUCACUAUGUACAGAAAACAAAAGUUACGACAUGAGAGUUAAAAAGAAAAAAGAAAGACAUGAAAUGAGAAACUUUAAUAUCAGCCUGUGAUUGCUCACCCCCCUGUGAGAGGGAAAAGGUACAUCAUGGAACUGUUCUCUCUUCAAAAGACUAUCUCGUCUGCAGCUCAGAGUCAAUAGAAACUGCAACAAGAAGAUUUUCUGAAGCCACUGUGGCCUAAGUUGCCGAAUUGCUUGAAGAAGCAUGUUAGACAGACAACACCAAGGAUUUACUUCAUUGCUGUCAUAGCUAUUGGGCGGUGAGCAACAGGGAUUUUCGCUGGCCUUGCAUGCAUGAUAACCUCUGGUGUAUGGAAGGAAACUUUGAUGACAAAAGCCUAGGUUUCUAUAUUUUCUAAUGUGUAACUGACAAGGGAUUUCAUCUUAUGUAUGUAACUGAUUGGAUACAUAUUCGCACCAGAUAGCAUACAUUUUUUAUCCUGAUAUUCUUAAGAAAGUUAAUAUGAGAUUAUCUUACAUGUGCACGGCUGAAAACCGGUUCCUCUGACCAAAUUAAUAUUCUGAAUAAACAACUUGAAGAAACAAGGAGAUAUAUUGUUACUGAAUCUGUGGUGUCUUUAUGUUUGUGGAGGACUAAUACAAGGAGAUCAAAUAACCAGAUCAUUAUAUAACUUAGAAAAUACAGGAACCUUAUGUAUUGGCAAUACCAGCGGAAGAACUUGAAGAAAAUCUGCAAGGUAAGUUCAAAAUUAGGAAGGGAACAUACCCAGAAGCUAACCGAGCGAUUAUCAUGAGAUGGUUUUUCAUGAAGCACGAUCUUUUCUUGAAUCCCCACUAAACACAAAGAAAUUAGAAAACUCAUAAUUAAGAAUAGAUAAUAUGAGAGUUCAUUCUCCUCAAGGACAAAAAAAAGGACCUAUCAGCUUUUGCUUUCCAAAGCCUGAAGCUAUUUAAUAAAUGGACAGUUAGAGACAUUUGAGAUGUAACAAGAAACAAGCACCGCUAACCCAUCUAUGUUGUCAACUUAUCCACGAGUUCCUUUUCAGAAGUUGCAUAAGCUAUACCAUGUUUCAAGAACCGGUUUCUCUCUAACAUCCGAAGCCUUAGGUACAAUGCGAACCAUCCCGAUUCUCAUGAACAUAUAGACAAUAAUUUUUCUAACCCCUAGACACUAGAAAUACAGAAACCCACAGAAAGGAGAAAAAGGGCUCAAACCUACCAAGGACCAGAUAAAGGUUGCCAUCUCAAAAGCAUUCUGCAUGCAGGGCAAGAAAACAAAUGAGAAGAACUGUAUGAAACACAAAGAGAUCAAUAUAUCUGACACAUGAUAUAAAUCAAUAUCAUCACCUGAAAUAUGAUAAAUUGUAUCAACCUCAACGAUAUGUCCGGUUUACCAAACCAAAAAAGACCAUCUCGUGGCUUUACUUGAUUCCCAAUGGAUGGACCUGUUUGUUCCCCUAUCUCAAGUGCUAACGUCGAAACAACAUGCUGAAGUUUUGUUCCAACCAACAUCACAAGCUUUGAUAUGUGAAACAUAUAUGUUAGAAAAAUAUCAUGCAGCAGCCGUUACUAUUUAGUAAAGUGACAGAAUGAAUGUGUACUUACAAUAGCAGGAAUGAAGGAAAGCCAAAAGUAAAUAUUUAAACCUGGAUCAUUUAAAGAAUUUAACCUUUCAGAAAGAAAAUGGUAGAAUCUAACAUAUACCAAAGAGAUAUCCUUUUUACAUGCUAGAAAAAGAAACGAACAAGUUACCAUGGAUAUUGAUGAAGAUACAAAUUAUUGCAUAUCCCCAAAGUGGCCAGCUACAAAAUUUAGGAAAAUGAUUCAGUUCAACUCAUUAUACUGCUUCUUCACUUCAGGGAAAUUUUACAUUUACAUCCUUCACUAUAACAAUGUUCAUUUCCUUGAAAUCUUUGCAUUCAUGGUAGAUUACAGGUAUUUAAACUUCAAAGGUUGUAAUGGUUACUGUUCUAUAAUAAUUAUAUCGCAGAAUGAGGAUUUCAUUUCUGGUGUCCAUCCGAUGUAAAAGUAUGUAAUCUCAUAAUUAAGUACAUGUUUACACGUGCAACUUCAAUCAUCCAAAAUGAAAUCUAUACUUCACCUUCCUCGAUGAAAUUUGGAACCAGAUCCAUUUUGAAGUCUUAUCCUGCCACUAUCAAGAUGUUCCAGAUGGUAAAAUGCAUGCAUAUUUAUUUUGGCCUACUCAAGAAAGAUAAAGGUGGUUUUCCCCAUAAUUUCUCAAAGCCCCCAUCCCCAUUUUAUUAGGCCUGUUUCUUUCUUUUGUAUAUGAAAAUUGACAAGCAUCGCCUAGCCCGUAUAAGUUUUAUUUAAAGAUAGAAACUGUUUCUUAUUUUCCACCUGGCACUUCAGCAGACAAGGCUGAACCAUGUCUGACUGGAAUAUAAUCUGUAGGUAGUAGGGACACUGCAGGUAUGUGAUCCAAAAUGGAAAAUGACUGCAAAGAGCUAGUAGUUUUUUCGAUCAGAGGAAAUUGGUGGAAGAAUUAAAAUUCAUUCAAAUGAGUACAUACCUGAUCCCCAAGAUGCCAUGAAACUCAUCUUCCAUACUGCGGACCAUAUAUUUGUGGAAGUCAUAAGAAAUUGGCAGUUUGUGCUUCUGCAGAGUUGAAAACAUGAUAACAACAUGCAACAUGUCUUCAGCACAAAGUUAAUGAAAUGAAACCAACAAAAGGAGGAUAAGUACAUGACCAAAGAGCUAUUCAACAUAAUGGUCUGAUUCUUUUCAUAUCCUAAAUGAAUUAAGAUCUACCAGUUAGCAAUGAAGCAUUUUUAAACAAGGCUUCACAAAUAGAAUAAUAUUGAACUGCUAGCACGGUAGAGUUUGCAUGCACGAAACUAAACUUGAUGAUUUUCAUCUACAAAAAAUUAUCCAGUUCAACUGUAAUCUGCUGAAAAUCUUCCAUAUUCUUCGGAUGCGAUUCUGGAUCUCAUACUACUUUUCCAUGAAACAAGAAUAUAUCUUAUUUUCAAAUAUUAAAUAGCUGGGUGCCAGUAGUCUGUCAAAAUAGAAUCACAAUUAAGUCACUAAAGUGCAUGGAGUGCACACGCUGAAGAUUCCUUCAUGAGGAUCAGAUGUUACAAAGGAGAAUUUCAAAGGGAAUUCACAAGAUCAACUUGGAAAUGAUAAAAGUUAGAAUAUGUAUGGUGACUAUGAUGGAAAAAGCCAAAUAGAGACAACAGGUAAUCAAGUAACACAUCAAGAAAAAUUAGACACGCACAGUGAUGAAACCCAAUCGUAGUGCCAAGUAAUCUGAUUUCUUUAUAGAGCUCUUAAAUUGUCGAAAGAAGCAAAGCUGCACAAGCACACCAUUUUCACAAGUAAAACACAGUCAGAAUCCCUCCCAGAUGAGGCAAUAAAGGAGCACAGGGAGAGAGAAAAAUGAAGGAAAAAAUAAUAUAGCAGGAAAGACAAUAAGGAAAUACUCAAAGUUCAACCCUGUUCUACAAAAUUGAUCGUCAUCCAAAGUAGGAUGGGUGGAAGAUACACUAGUCUUCCUGUGCGCUGUUUCCUUGGAAAUAGUAUGGCCAUUAGACAUCAUAUCUUCAGUAAGUGUUAUAAUACCGAUUCCUAAAAAAGUCUCAGAAUCAUUUGAUUGCCAGACAACCAAAAUCAUCAGAAGAAUAUCUGGAGCAUUGUUCUAGUUAGCUUACACAAAAAUGUUGAACAGUAUUAAUUGUGGGUUUGGUGUAGGUAACAUUUUCCCACCAGAUAUUGAUUCGUAGGACUGCUGAAUUGCAUAAUACAAGUCCUACAUGUGGAGAAUGCUUGAUUUCAUGGGGGGGGGGAAAGUCUUUUGUCAAUAAAACUAGCAGUGUAUAGAAUAGCCAAUUGUUUGAGAUAUGCUAUAUUCUGCUGAUUAUUUUGUGCAUUCAGGAUGUUAGUACUUGAUUGACAUUGAGUUGGCUAAUUCAUGAAACAACAGUUGCAAGGUUGGAGUCGAAAGUGUUUUGUGUAGAUUUAUUGUACUUUUAUGUGCUAGUUCAUUGAGAUGAAAUAGCAUAACCAUUGAACAAGAAGAUAGAACACUCAACCAGUCAUCCUUUAUGGUUCUAAUGCAUCAAUUUGGAUAAAAAAAUGAGCACCGCAAAACUCUAACACUUGUCAUGAAGUCAAGAAAUACCACAGCAAGAUAGAUUUCUCAGCCUCUUAUAUUGUCAUGAAGUCAAGAAAUACCACAGCAAGAUUGCGGAAACUGAAGGUUUUUCAAACAAAAUUUCAACCUACUCAGAGAACCUUAACUUCAAAAUAAUAGGUUGCCAAGAGCAUUGAAAAGGAAAGGAAACCAAUGUGUCAACCAAACAAUAUUGGUUAGUCCUCCAUACAUCCUUCAAACACCAUUUCCUUGCCAGAAAUAUAUAUACAACAAUAUGUCCAAACUAGAGUGCAAGAAUGGAUCUCACAACAAAUAUUAUGUUAAAUUAGUUCACAUAACAUGUUUUAAAGUAAAUGCUAGAUGCCACCAAUAUAUGCACCGGAAAUAAUUGCCAAAAACAAGGAAAAACAUCACAACUUUACAAAGAGCCAUACACAUAGAAAGCAAGGAAAUUACCAUCCAAAUGAGAACUCGACUCCUGCUCCAUGGAUGAGAUGUGUGGUGGAAAACAAAGGUGGAUUGCCGCCUCAUCACCUUGUUUUUCUUUGCUAUAUAAAAUAAUAGUGAGAGAAAGAUAACACGGUGAGAUUUUGGAUGCCACAUAAUAACAAAUGGAUAAAUAUAUUAUCAAAGUGAAAUUUUUAUUAGACAGUGGGGGGAAAGGAACAAUAGCAUAAAAACAGUAUACAAAAAGUAAAGGUUCUGCAGUAAGAAGGCUACACACACUUCCUACUGCCAUUAGCACAUAACACAGACCAUUUUGUAUAAUAGGCAGAUUUCUUGUGUUGACUGACAUACGAUUGAUAUCUUAAAAUUGAAAGGAACUUUCAUACAUAAGACUAACAGGAUGUAGCAUUCCUACAUUAAUGUCUAUGUUUGGUCCAUGAUAUCUGCACAAUCCAACUCUUGUUAUUAAACUCAGUCCUUUUUUUUCAAUUCACAUAAGAACGUAAGACCAUAAUGUGCUACUAACUUAACUAUAGAUGUGCAAUAAGCCAUUUACAAGACAGCUUGCGAGGCUUUCUUCUUUGCCUCUAAAUGCAAUCACUGGUACCAGAAUGUACACCUAUUUGUCCAUCUAUUCUGAACUGGAGCUCUGAAGGUCGUCACCUCAAGUAAAUUGGCAAAACUGAUUACCAUAUGUUAAUGUUCCUGUGAUAUAACUAUAAGGAGAUUAGUUGAUGUGCUAAAAUGUGGAUCGAUUUCCCUUCGAAUGGAAGAUUAGUUGUGCAUACUGUUGUAUCUCAUGGUCUCAAACUAGAAUCCAUUUCCACAAUCAAUUAGCCUGAUGCCAAUAUCCUUGUGACAUAGGAAUAGCCAUAAAAAAGAUUAGAUUAGGCGGAGUAGAAAGCGGAUGAUCAAUUAACUUUAAAUUAGGAAUGUGGAUGCACAUAAUGUAUCAGAUGGCCUCAUAACUGAAAUCAACUAGUUUUGUAUGGUGUCUACUAGAAGAAAACAGGGAAGCGUGUAUCAAAUGGCUAUCCAUCAUUAAACAAAUGAAAAAGACAUGACAGGAGAGAAGUUUUCGUGGUGUAAGAUGUCACUAGGAGCCUUCAUUAAACUAGUAAUCCAAUUUGCUUACCUUGUAAAUUCCCAUCAGCCACUAAGUUCGUCUGAUUUUCCCAUUUCCUCCAACUGUAAAUCUAGGAAGACAUGCAAUAAGAAGAAUAAUAAGCCCCGGCAGUGUUUAAGGAGGGCCUACAAACUGCAUGAAAAGACAACAUACAAGCUAAGUCUGCAAUCCCUACUAGUUUGAUUGUCUGCAUGCAUGGAUUCACCUCCUCUAUUCAGUUUUGUUACGGGUUGAAUUUUCCCUUGACUGUUGUGAUGGUAGGUCUAUUAUGUCCUCUCUAAAUAGAUGAAGACCAUACAGAGGUCACUUGUUUUCCCAUGUUCACUUAACCUCUUUGGAAGAAAGAUUCCCCAUAAGCCGCUAACAUGAUACAGUAUGAUAUCUAGGGGAAAAACAAACAACAGAUAAUUUAAAGUCUAGGUAAUUCCAAUUCCUAACAAUAAUAUUUGUUGGAAAUGACUUCGUGAUACUUCUUGGAGUUGGAGCAACUUGGAUUUUUAAUUUCUUAACUAAAGAAUAAAACUUGGCAGGCAUCAAGAACUGGUGAUGUUGAGAAUCAAAGUAUUUACGAUAUAUAGCAUACAUUAGAAGCUCCAUUUUAAACCUAGAGAUAAAAUAAUCAAUAAGGUGAUAAUAGUACCUUGCUCAUAGCCAGACCAACUGUCAAGCAACUGUACAGGACAUGAGUGAUGCCGAGAACAAAUAAGAAUCGGUGGAGCUGCUCAAGACCCUCUAGUGAGACGAAUGGUUCGCGACCCUGCAAUCGAGAAAACUAUAACUUACCAUGGCUUGUUCCCGAUCACCACACCUAAUAAAACUCAAAAGACAAGAAAAGCAAAUUUACCUCACCACAUUGAUGAGAUAUUUGAGUAGUUAUUCUUUUGGGUGGAAUAUGGCUCUCAUUCAGGAAAGGGGAUGGAUUUUCAAACAAGACUUUCUGAGUGAUGCCAUAAUCCUCCUCAGAACAAAGAUAGAAUUUACUGCUGAAAAGAGAUGAAUUCACGCAGAUCUCAGAUAUCGACCGCGCACAUUGUGCCAAGAGCAGAGAUAUAAGCCCAAGCAGCAUCAGCUCUAACAGGAAGAAAGGGGACAAGUAGCAAAACAAAAGGCGUAUCAAAACCAGAAACCGAAAACCAGCACCUCUUCAGUUCUAACCAUGUUUAAUCUUCGAACUCUCAAAACACAGCAAUGAACAAGAAGGAGAGAAAGGCAAACACGAAACAAAACCAACUUGACAGGACACAACCCAACCACAUGGAUUCGAAAAUGCCUCAACCCUCAAAAGCAUAUACACAUAAAAUCAAUUAAGGAUAUUAACACAUGAACCCUGUAAUGUAUAGCAUUCUCUCAAUCAUUGAUCAACAAGCAUAAUCAUGCCUUAAUUUCUCUUUUCCUUUUCUUUUUCUGAACAAACUGGCAGCUGCUAUUAAUGAAGUAAAUAGUAAACACACACCUUCCUUAAUCUUCUCCAAAGAAACAAACAGAGCCUUCCUCCUUGUUUUCUCCAACCACUGUGUACAAAAGCAAAACAUAAAAAUCAGACAAACCUUAACAAAAUUGGAAAAUCCAAAAUGAAGAUUUCCUCAAACCUUUAAUUUCCUACAUUUUCUCAGCAGCCAAACAGGACAUUUAGCAAAACUGUAGUUCUCUUCAACCAUAAGACUCAACUAAUCCAAAUACUAAGCACUACAGGCCCCAAAAGGACAAGAUUACAAAGUUGCUGCUGUGCUGUGACUGCUAUCUUUAAGCACACUAGCUAUAGCCAUCUUGUUUGAACAAACCAAAAUCCCCCCCCCCCAAAAAAAAAAAAAGAAAAGAAAAAAAGAACCCUUUACAUUACUAUAAGAAACCAUUUAAAAGGCAUAUAGAGAUAGAAGGAGGACAUGACUUACCUUUCCAAAUCUGUAGAUGGAGCGUUGAAAGAGAAAGCAAACAAAAACCAAGACUGUAAUGACCGUAGCUACAGAAUAAGUGGGAGUCUCAACCAGAGAUCUCCCUUGCCUUAUCAACACGUCCUCCCCCCCCAUCACUUUAUCUAAACAACCCAAGUUAACUUUACUUCCUUGGAAAAACUAAAUGACAGCUUCAUCAAGUCGAGGUAGCUAGCAAGAGGAAAGCGGUGAUCCAGGAAAUGAGGAGCAGUACAGUCUACAGAAAUAAUGUAGUUGAAAGUGAACUUUUUUGAAGUUUUGUCAAACAGAAAGAAGAGGAAAGGAAAGCCAUGAUCGACGAACAUGCAGAUGGAAUCAUGGAAAUCUAUGUAAUCCGGGAAAAUCUAUAUAUAUAAAAAAAAGGUUUUAUUUAGUACUUAGUUUAAUAUUGAUAUAUUUUUUUGUCCUGUUAGGACAUUUCUCACUUUCUUUGCAUGGGAAUCGCUGCAUGCGACAUAAUGCAACCUUCCCACAUGGAGGAAGUGAGCGCUCUCUCUCUCUCUCUCCCCCUCCCCUCUUGAAAGUUGAGAGUUUUGAAGAUCUAACAGUCUCUGUUCCUAUAGUGGAAGACACAUGAGCUCCAUUAAACCAAAUGUUUGGCAUGAUGUGCUCCCUUACCCAUGGUUGUGAUCACCCUCAGGAGGUAACCCGCAAAAGGAUUAGGUGAGUUUAAUAAUUAUAUGAUUAUCAAAACUUAUUUUUACUUAUUAUCACUACUAUAUUUCUAUCUUUUUUCUUGUUAAAAGAAGAAUAUUUCAGGCAGAAAUUUUCAAUUUUGGUAUACGAAGAUUAUCCAAUUGUUAACACUAAAUUAAAAUAAAAUAAAAAAAGAUGGAUGGUAUAUAAUUCAUGUGAGAAGGCUGAUAAUGAAUCAAACAAUUUUUAAUUUGAGGGAGGAGGCUUAUAAUUUCUCAAAAGUAAGAAACUAUAUAGGCUUUAAAUAAAAAAUUGACUACAACCAGGCGGCAGGCAUGGUAUAGUUUGGCGCACAUGACCAACUAAAAGUUUUGUUGACUUUUUUGAGAUCAUAAGUUACUCAUGAUCAUGAUCAAGACUUAUUUGAAAAGAGUGAUAAUUAAAAUUAAUAAUAAUAAUUAAGAUUUGAUUGGUUCUUAUCAUCUUCUCUCCUCUCAAUAAAUUGACACCACUAGGGUUAUUCGUCCUCGACAAAACAAUAUCACACAAAAUUAUUUCAUUUUUUAUAUAUAUUUUUCAUCUAAUUUGGCCACAUCAAGUGCUAGAGUCUCACAAUUAUUUUCAUUACAGUGUAAUCUUUGUCCUAACACGAGGGGUUGCACGAAUCAUUAUUGUUUGCUCACCAAACCUGCACCUGCCCCCGUUCUGUUCAUCCUCUAAUGUAUAUUAUUUACCAUCAAUCUCUUUUAAAUUCAUAAAUUUAAAUUUUACUCCAUGGAACAUAAAAGUCAAUAUCCUUUUCUCAAGAAAUGAGGGUCAUAUAUAUAUAUAUAUAUAUAUAUAUAUAUAUAUAUAUAUAUAACCAAAUCCAAUAUCUUUUUUAUACCGUCCCAUUUCCUUCCACGUGAACUUAUAUGUUUCGUUUCAUUGAACAUUUUUAUUUUAAAUAAUUCUUCUAUUCUUUUUAUUACCAGUUAUUUAUUAUCAUGUUUUUAUUAGAUUAUUUUUCAAACUUUCUACAUGUUUUCUGUAUUAGAGGGAAGAUGACUUAGCAUAUGUAUUAUUACAUUGUGAUAUUACACAUAUUUCAGUGCUCGAUUUGCAUCCACAACCCUACCAAAUUUUACUCCAUGGAACUUUUUUCUUAGCAACAUCUAUUUAAUAUUUCAUAAUAUAUUUAAACAAAAUAUUUAAAAGAUUUUUUGGAUUUGAUAAAAUUUCAGCAGAAUCUUUUUAUACGAGGCCCUAUCCAAAAAUUAUCCCGUUAUAUCUUGUUUAAAAUAUCUUUUUAUAAAUUUCACAUAGAUGUCUCAGACAUACUAUCAGUUAUUUAUUAGUCCAUUAAAUUUUUCGCGGUUCACUCAUAGUCAUUUAUAUCAAUUCUAAUUUUUCUUUCCAUUAGUUAAUUAUAUACUUGAUAUAAUAGAUGCACGGAUGAAUUAACAUAAAAAAUGUUUGAUUUGCAUAUAUUUAAGUAAAGUAUUAAAACACCUUUUAUAUUUUGUUAACACAGUCGACUAAUAUUGAUAACACAUCCUUAGUUACCAUCUACAUGGUUAAAUAAAUAUCAAAACUUUUUUUUAAUGUUUUGUUAGCAUGUUCAACUAAUAUCGACAACAUAUUCUUAGUUAACAUCAACACAAUUAACUAAGUAUCAGAACAUCUCUUAUGUUUUAUCAACACAAUCGAUUAAUGUUGACAACACUUCCUUAGUUACCAUUAACAUGGUUCAAGAAGUUUUUUAUAUAUAUAUUUGUCAGCAUGGUCCACUAAUACUGAUAACAUGUCCUUAGUUAAUAUCAACACAAUUAACUAAGUAUUAGAAUAUCUCUUAUGUUCUGUUAAUAAAGUCUACUAAUAUCAAUAACAUAUCCUUAGUUAACAUUAAUACAAUUAAUUAAGUAUCAAAACAUCUCUUAUGUCAUGUCAACACACAAAUCCCAAAUCACAAAGUCAACGAAUUUUUUGAUAGUUUUCUUUGCUAUUUUUUUAUUUUGCCACACAAAUCCCAAAUGAUUUCUAAAAAUUCUGAAAAAAUUCAAAAUUAUUUAUAAAGAAAAUACAAAAAUAUAUUUUUAUUUGUGUGCAUAUGACCAAAUUCUAAAAGUUUUCAUGAAUAUUUUAUAAAAAAAAAUUGAUUUUUUAUCAUAUUUUGAAAAAUACAAAAAUCAAUUAAUGGGUAUAAUAACAAGUUUAUAAUUAUCCAUUAGGAUUUGACCAAAAUUUCAAAAACACCACCAAAAUUAAUUUGUUUAAUUAAUAUUUGGGGUAUAAUUUUACAAUGUAAUGUAUAUUCCAGGUAUUAAAUUAAAUAAAUUGACAAAAAUAAAAUAUUAAAAUUAAUUAUAGACUUUAAUAUUUGAGGAUAUAAAAUUACAAUGUAAAGUAUAUCCUCAUGUAUUAAAGAUACAAAAUAGAAAUAAAUACACCAUUAAAAUUUAGACCUUAGAAUGAUUAGAUUUUAACUUGAUAAGGUAAAGACCUCUUUACUGAAUGAGAUUUGUCUUGGGUCUAAAGAUAGAGAUCUUUUUACCGAGAAUGAUCUACCUUAAAUUCAUAAGAUAGAGACCACCUUACUAAGGAUAACUUGUUUUUGAAUUUUAGAGAGACCAACAGAUAGAAACAUGACUUCAAGAAAAUCAAACAAUCAAUAAUAUAGUUUACCUUAGGUGAGGUGCACUGGGUAAAACGUCUUUUCUAUACACAAUUAGCCUCUCUACCUAGAUUCUUGUAGACCAGUAAGUUUCCAAGUGAUUAUAAUACUUGAUAGCGACUCCUCAAUUAUUUUAAAUAUAGUUUUAUAAUUAAUUCCAACACAUUCAAAACCCUAUCAAUAUCCAAAUCCAGGAGAAAAAACUACACCAUGAACGCCAUGACAAAAUGCACAUUGCUUUCCAAAACCUUGUUGUUGAGGCGAUAACUCAUUCCUUAUAUUUUAAAUAAACUUCUAGAUUAUCCUUUGACCUCAUUUGCAUAUUCAGUUUCUUAUUCAUUAUUAUUAACAAUACUCUAAAACGCGUGGGAAAAGUAAUGUAGCUUUCCUCGCAUGUUUUUUGUUUUGCAUUUUUUUCCAUUCCCAUAUGUUUUUUUCUUUUUUCUUUGUUUUUUUUUCCAUUCUCCACAUUCUUUUUCUUUUGUUUUUGUUCUUUUUCAUUUUUGUUUCCCAAAAUUAUCUUCUUCUUUUUUCAUUUAUUUGUUUUUUUCCCAUUCCCCGCAUGUUUUUUAUUUAUUUUUUGUUUUUUUUCCAUUCUCCACAUGCUUCCCCCCCCCCCCCAAAUUAUCUUCUUAUUUUUUUAUUUUUAUGUUUUUUUUUCAAAAUUAUCUUUGUCGAUUUUAUUUUUUUUACUAUUAAACUGGUUGAGAAUUUAGCUUUUUAGCUUUAUAGUUUUUUUCUUUGAAAUAUUAUCGAUUGCUAUAGUGUUUCUCCACAUAGUUUUUGCUUUGCUAUAAUGUUUCUCCACAUGUUUUUUUUCUAAAGUUAUCUUUGUUGAAUUUUUUUUUUAAUAUUGAGAUGGUUAAGAAUUUAGCUUUGUAGUUUUUUUUCUUUAAAACAUUUUGGAUCGUUACAGUGUUUCCUCAUAUGGUUUUUAUGUUUUUAUUAUGAUUUUCUCCAAAAUUAUCGUUGUCGAUUUUUUUUUAAUAUUGAGUUGGUUGAGAAUUACAACUAUAGUUUUCAUCACAAAACAUUAUGGAUUGCUAUAAUGUUUCUCUACAUGGGUCUUUUUUUUUUAUAUAUGAUUUUUGUUUUUUUAUGUGAUUUUUUUUUCAAAAUUGUCUUUGUUGUUUUUAUUUUUUUAAUAUUAAACUGGUUGAGAAUUUAGUUUUGUAUUUUUUUAAAAAAACACUGUGAAUUGUUAUAGUUAUUCCCCACAUAUUUGUUUUUGUUAUGAAUUUUUUCAAAAAUUUCUUUGUCAUUUUUUUUUAAUAUUGAGUUGGUUGAGAAUUACAACUGUAUAUUUCCUCACAAAACACUAUAGAUUGCUAUAGUAUUUCUCUACAUGGUUUUUUUUCCUUUCAUUUUUUUAAUUUUUUUCUCAAAUUAUUUUUGUAGUUUUUUUCUUGAAAACAUUGUAGAUUACAAUAGUUUUUCUCCAUAUAUUUUUUUUAUAAAUUCACGACAAGACAUAGACAUACCACAAGCUUGCGGCAGUACACAGACAUGACAUCUAGUAUUUUUCCAAUGUUGUUUUCAUAUGCAUUACGGAAGCUUGAAAAGCUUUUUUUCCAUUCAUUUUGCUAGUUUUCUCCUUCCACUACGCUGUUUUUCAACUUUUUAAUAAUAAGCGUAAUUUUUUUUUAAAAUAUUUUUUAUUUAUAAUAUAUUAAAAUAAUAUAUUUUUAAUAUAAAUACAUUAAAAUAAUUUGAAAAUAUAAAAAAAUUAACUUGAAGCAAAUAAAAAAAAUUAUUUUUUUAAAAAACAUUUUUAAAAUACAAAAAUAAACAGACUCUUAAUAUAUAUUUGAUAUUGUGAUAGUUUUUGCAGCUAUAAUUUAAAAAAUAAAUUUAAAAAGGUUAUAAAUUGUAGUUCUUUUUUAUCCAAAAUUUUAGAAAGGAGUUUUUAAUAAAAUUUAUAUAAAACUAUAAUAUAUAUUGAUAGACAUGUAUAUUUAGGAUAAAACAUACACCAUAGCACACCGUACAACAAAAACAAAUGAAGCUUUAAUUUCCUUUUAACUGCUCUAAAAUUUCAGACCCGUAUGGAGGAAAAAGACAGAGGUCUUGACACCGGAAUGAUUUCUGUUACAAGAAGCUGCGAUGACUAGUGAAAUAAAUUUUUUUACCAAAAAUAUUAAAGUCAGUGUACUAGAUUGAGAAAAAGUGAAAGUUGAUGUAUCAAAACUGCAGCUUUCCCUUAGGACACAUAAGCAGAAAAGAGAGCCUUGGACUUGAUUGAAAGUUCUGAAAAUUCGGUGUACUUAAACAAAGAUAAUUAAAGUCCAUGUACUAGAUUGAACAUUUGUGUAAAAUCAAUGUACCAUAAGGUAAGGGCCCUUGACUAGAGAGAGAGAGAGAGAGAGGGAGGGAGAGGGAGUCUAGAGCCUUUCAUUUCAGUCUAAAACCCCUCCAAAACCCUAGCAUAGCUAUGGCGCAACGACUGCUCCGCCUCCGUCGAGCCCUAACCCCAUUCUCUUCUACUCGGCAACGCCCUCCUCUCUCCACUCCUAUCGCAAUCGCACCACCAGCCGCACAGACGCCCCCAAUCAUUUCUCAAUGGCGGGGAUUCUCGGGAACGAGAGUGUCAAUGAUGUCGACGACUGGUUUAGCAGAGAAACAGUACAAGGUAUACGAGGAUGGAGAAGAAAUCGUUAAGAACACAAUUCUGUUCGAAGGCAACGAAUACAUUCACUGGCUGGUGACUGUUGAUUUCCCAAAAGAACCCAAACCCUCUCCUGAAGAAAUGGUCGCUGCUUUUGAACGCAUCUGUGCCCAGGGACUCAACAUCAGGUAUCUUUUUUUUUUGUUUUUUGUUAUGAUUUAUUAGUUUAAUUUUAAUGGCGUGGUGUUUUUUCAGUAUUGAGGAGGCGAAGAAGAGAAUGUAUGCUUGUAGCACAACUAUUUAUCAAGGGUUUCAGGUUUCAAUUACGCACCAAGAGGCCGAAAAGUUUAGAGGCAGGUGUUAGCUUUUGACAGUGGGACAAACGAGGCCCUUUGAAAGUAAACAAAUUCACUUCAAAACUAACUAUAGGAGAGCCAUCUCCAUCCCUUCAAUCAAACGCAUUUACAUCACUUUCGUAUCUGCCCCUUCUGUCAAGCGCAACCAUACAUCUGUGUUUCUUGCAUUCUGAAUUUCCACCUGUUUUUGUGCAUUGUUAUUGCUGUUGUUGUCCUGAAUGCUUGUUUACUGACUUAUCAUAUGUGAUGAUGCUUUAAACAGGUGUUCCGGGGGCUGUUUUUGUAUCACCAGAUUCGCGAGUAAAAAAGGAAAAUGGAGGUCAUUUUUUUCUCCUUGUGAUUGAAAUAUCUUCUUUCAAUUUAAUUGUUGAAAUGCAUUCUAGUAUAUUGUCUGUUAUUCUACUCUUUUAAGGUAGUAUUAGCCCUUUCAUUUGGUCACUUGGCUAUUACACAAUUAGUUAAAAGCAAGUCUGAUAGUGGUUAGUUCAAUUGGUGAAUUAAACUCAUUUGAUCUACUUUGCAGGAGACAAGUAUAAAAAUGCAGUAAUCACUCCGAGACCACCCCCAGUUCAAUUUCAGAGAGGUGGAGAAAGGCGCCGUGAUCCAGGCAGAAUUCCACCUAGAUUUGACCAGCCUGAAAGUCCAAUUCCAAAUCAUCAAGGGCCGCAACCCCAGUAUAGUCAGCAAGGGCAUAUGCAAGGAGGUGGUAGUAACUACGGGUCUCAACAAAAUCGUCCACCACAGAAAAAUCAUGGUCCUCCAGGGCUAGGAGGAACAGUGCCGAUGAACAAUAGGGAUUAUGCCACUGGAGGAAGGAACACAUAUCCAGGACAGCAAGGAAAUCACGAUCCCCCAGGACAGCAAGGUUACAACCAAGGACAGCAGGGGAAUCAUUAUGACCCAGACCAAAGGAGCUUUCCACAAGGAGAUUGGAGGAGGGAUCAUGGAUCUCCUGGGCAAAGAGAUUAUAGGGGAGACAACUGGAAUUAUUCUCCCACCCAUGGUGGAAACUAUGGGCAAGGUGGAAAUACUAGCUAUGGACAACGUCACCCAGGUGAAGGUCAGAGGUCCGCACAAAUGGAGCUGAGGGGCAUGCAAGGAGAGCAAGGGAACUAUGCACCAAUGGGACAACCAGGGUGGUCAAACCAAGUAAGGCACUCCCCCCAUUAAGUGAUUAACUGGGACCCUUUUUUUCAUUUUUUAGAUUAUCCAUAGGUGGUUUCAUAGUGCAGGUGAGGACGGAGAAUGGUUUACUGACCUUAUAUGCACGCAUGACUUGUAGAUUUGUUUAUGGGAAUAUAGAUUAAAAUGUCAUCUUUUGGAGCUAGGUUAGCCCAUGACUGUUUACGAGUUAGAUAACAGGGAAGUUUUAUCAUCAAAAGUCUUGUGAUUACUAUUCUUCAACUACCAAUAAAUCUCUUGGGAAACUCUGCGUGCUUGAAAGUGAAGUACACUGCUGAAAUGUGAGGAGAAGUUGAACACAAUAAGUUUUUGAGAAUGAACAGCUUUAAUUAAGAAUUAAUUCCCUUUUUCCCUUCACCAUAUCAUCUUAUUUCUCUUGUUUUUAUUGGGUUAUGCAACUCCAGUACAGUCAACAAGGGCACAUGCAAGGAGGUGGUAGUUGCUACGGGUCUCCACAAAAUGGUCCAUCACAGCAAGAUCAUGGUCCUCCAGUGCUAGGAGGAAGGAUGCCAAUGAACAAUAGGGAUUAUGCCCCUGGAGGAAGGAACAUGUAUCCAGGACAGCAAGGUUACUUCCAAGGACAGCAGGGAAAUCAUUACCCCCCAGGACAGCAAGGUUACAACCAAGGACAGCAUGGAAAUCGUUAUUCCCCAGGUCAGCAAGGUUACAACCAAGAACAGCAGGGAAAUCAUUACCCCCCAGGACAGCAAGGUUACAACCCAGGACAGCAUGGAAAUCGUUAUCCCCCAGGUCAGCAAGGUUACAACCAAGGACAGCAGGGAAAUCUUUACCCCCCGGGACAUCAAGGUUACUUCCAAGAACAGCAGGGAAAUCAUUACCCCCCAGGACAGCAAGGUUACUUCCAAGAACAGCAGGGAAAUCGAUACCCCCCAGGACAGCAAGGUUACAACCAAGGACAGCAGGGAAGUCAUUACCGCCCAGGACAGCAAGGUUACAACCAAGGACAGCAGGGGAAUCAUUAUGACCCAGACCAAAGGAGCUUUCCACAAGGAGAUUGGAGGAGGGAUCAUGGAUCUCCUGGGCAAAGAGAUGAUAGGGGAGACAACUGGAAUUAUUCUCCCACCCAUGGUGGAAACUAUGGGCAAGGUGGAAAUACUAGCUAUGGACAACGUCACCCAGGUGAAGGUCAGAGGUCCGUGCAAAUGGAGCAGAGGAGCAUGCAAACAGAGCAAGGGAACUCUGCACCAUUGGGACAACCAGGGUGGUCAAACCAAGUAAGGCACUCCCUCCAUUAAGUGAUUAACUGGAACCUUAUUUUUCUCAAUUUUUAGAUUAUCCAUAGAUGGUUUCAUAGUGCAGGUGAGGACAAAGAAUGGUUUACUGACCUUACAUGCACGCAUGACUUGUAGAUUUGUUUAUGGGAAGAUAGAUUAAAAUGUCAUCUUGUGUAGCUAGGUUAGCCCUUGACUGCUUACUAGUUAGAUUACUGGAAAGUUUUAUAAUCAAGAGUUUAGUGGUUACUAUUCUUCAAUUACCAACAGUCUCCUGGGAAACUCUGCAUGCUUGAAAGUGAAGUACACUGCUGAAAUGUGAGAAGUUGAACAGAAUCAGUUUUUGUGAAAAUGAACAACUUUAAGAAAGAGUUCAUUCCUUUUUGCCCUUCACCAUAUCAUCUUAUUUCUCUCGAUUUUAUUGGGUUGUACAGGGAGGAUACUGAGAAGACUCUUGGUUCUUUGAGGUGGAAGAGAGAAUGGACUUGUAAAUCACUUUCAUCUUGGAAUUUAUGGGAUUUUGGUGUAGCUUUAUGGAAGCUUGAAUUUUUGCUAAUCUUUAACAGACUUGCUUAUUAUCACUGAUUUGUCUGGCAUCUAAACGUCCACUGUAAAUUAUAUACAAGAUUAUUAAUCUGCAUAGAUGUUUUGUGGUUUGUACCAUGUUUGUUCUUUGAACUGUGAUGCCUUUAUGUGCAUACAUGGUGGUCGUGAAUGCCGGGUGGUUGUGUACAUAUUUUUGUCUUCAAACUGAUCAUUUGUUCCUAAUCUUUUUUUCCUGCCAUUUCAGCAUGGGAAAGAUUCCUGGUGUCAACUUACAGAGACUGCAAGCUCUGCCUAACGCUAUUGAUGCACUCAAGUAAGAAUACUGAGUUGCCAUAUUUUAUGAAUGUUUGUGAUAUUGUAUGGUCCAUCUGCAAAACAGUAAAUUUCACAAGCUUUAUGAUGUUAGCUUCUGAUUGAUCAACUUUGGAUCUAGUUUUGGCAAAUAUAGGUGCCUUGACAAUUUGGUGUUUGCCAAGUUAACAAGACAGAAUGGGUACGGAAACUAAUGUUCCUCGAAAGACUCAAUCUAUUGCAAUUCCGGAUACAAAGGAACUUGUUUUUUUUGCAUGGUGAAUUGGAUGUAUCGAUUUUAGGACAAUGAAGUUUCAUGUUAAGGACAAUGAUUUUCUUGGGGUGCAUCUUAUUGGAGUAGUGGAGAUACCAGUUGAGACAAUCAAUUCAGGAAAGAAGAAAAGAGCUAGAUAUAUUUUGAUACUUAAUCAUCCCAACCUCUUUGCUAGUAUUGAGCUUUUCUAAUUGUCGUGCUGCUAUUCUUCUUAACAUUGCUGCCAAACUUCACCCUAGAAAUGGGAAUAAUGUAAGAGGAAAAGAGCUGAGAAUAAAGGUGGAAGAUGAAUUCUUAGAUAACUUUCUGGGGGUUUGGUGCAUAACUCCAAUGAUGAGUAAAGAUAGUGAAGGAAUUCUCUCCAAAUCUGUUCAGAUAUUUUCAUAUAGGGAAAGAUGCCUAAAGUUGACUUUGGAGAAUUUAAACACAUACCAAAGAAAUUAUGAUCAUCAUUGUCUCUCUUACAGGUAUUCCGAUCUAUUGAUUCAGGAUCUGUGAAGGGAUUUCCAAAUUCCACUCAAGAAGCCGUGGCUCAAGUUCGAACUAGCUUUAUGCAGUACUUGCUAACAUUAACCAGUUUGUGCUUCUAGUUUUAUGUUUAUGUGAUAUCAUUCCAGACCUGCUCCAAUAACUUAUCUCCUUUUUCUGCAGAAUCUUGUAUUAGGAAAGAAUUUGAAAGCAGACGAGCAUUCAUACAGCAUAUGUAAAGGCAAUAAGAUCAGCUGAACACUUCAUAUACAAAGAGAAUCAAUAUUUUCCUGGAUCUUCCUAGCUAUCAUUGGCCAUCAUACAAAAAUGCAGGUACAGAAAGCAUCAAGUUACUGCCUUUCCUUGCCAAAUGUGAAGAAAUUUAUUGAAUGCUGAUUACUGAUUAAAUCGACACUAAUAAAUCCACAGCGUAUCUCAUGCAAGACAUGAAGGUGUUUUAGUUUUUGUUUUGCUGUUUAGUUGGAUAUCUGAUGAGGAAAUUUCUCUUUGACUUCAUCUAUGUGAACAGGAGCUGAUAACUUAUUAUUGUAAAUACAGCUAUAUGUUUUCCCAUAGUUUUGUGAACUUUUAUAGAUUAUAUUAUUUUGCAAUGCUCUCAUAAUGUUGAGGAUAGUCUGGUUAUUUGUAAAUAAUUUCUUUUAUCAUAUUAAUAUCUUAUAUAAUGAUUCUAUCAAAACAUUAUACUAAUUUAUAUAAUUAUUUUUAUUUUUAUUAUUCUUGUGGAAUUUAAAUUAAGAUAUUAAAAAAAAUCAGAUAAUGUAUAUUGACUCAAAUUUAUAAAGUCAUAUACCAAAAUAUUAAUAAUCUAAAUUAUUUCCUUACAAGCUCAAAACAUAUUUUACAUUACACUUAUUUGAUCAAAACAUGCUCGUUUAUCAAUUGAAAUAAAUUAAGAAAAAAAUAUUAUGACAGGAAAAAACAAAAAAAUAAUAAUGGAUAUGCACAUAUAAUAUACCCUACAUUCUUGAUGCAUACUUAAUAUAAAAAAAUAUUUUAAAGUUAUAUUAUAUGAUUUCAUUCUUUAAUUGAAAAAUAUUAAGGGUGUAAGUGAAGCAUAACUCGAUUAUUGUAUUAUCAUAAACUUUUAAAUGAUAUAAGGAGCUUUGAUAAGAAUUGAUCUUGCAUGGACAAUUUCCUUGUUUUUUUUUAGUUUCACUUCUUAACAAAAACAUAAUAUCAAAUAUCUUUUAAAUUAAAGCUUAUAAUAGGAGUUUGUAAUUGGUUUAAACAAAAACAAUAAAAAAAAUAUAUUGUAAGAAAUCUUGAUCUAACUUUUUUAGUUAUUUUCUCUCUCCUCAAAGCUUUAUUACUUACUGUUUUAUUUCUUUUUAUUUUUAUACUAACACAACAUAAGUGGUCCAUUUUAUCUUAUAACUUUUAUGUUAGGCAUGAUAUAAUUAGUAAAUGAUAGAUCAUUUGCAUAUGUUUUAAAAAAAUAUCUAAAAAAUAAACAAAGUCAACAUAUAUUAAAAUUUGUGAAUGAGUUUGAGACUAAUGCUGAAGAAAACAAAACUUUAAAAAAUAAUAAAAUAAAACCCUCAAUCAAUAAAAUAUUUAUAAAAUAUUUAAAGAUGAAAUUAAAAAAAAUACAAUAAAAAAAAAUUAAAAGUAAAUAAUAACAAAAAAAAAUGAAGACCAACUUUAAUAUAAAAAAUUUAAAUCAAAUGUUAAGAGAUAAAAUUAAAAACAAAUCUUAAUUACAAAAAGGAUAAAAAAACAAUAAAAAAAUUAGGAUCAAAUUUUAUAUAAAAAUAAAUAAUAAAGGAUAUAAUUAAAAAAAUCAAUAAAAACAAAAAAAAAACAAAAAAAAUUAUAAUCUAAAUAAUAAAAAUUAAAUUGAAAAAAAAAAAAACAAAACUCCUUUAUCUAACCACUGAAAAGAUACUUCCGAUAUAACCGCAGAAGACGGUGUUUUGUCAUCAUACAGUAAUAUCUCAUGACUCAUUUAUUGUCUAAAGAUGGCAAAGACUCUCCAUUUGCGCCAUGUCAUCAUACAAUAUCUGAUGUAUUGUCUAAAGAUGGCAAAGACUCUCCGGCGCGUGUGUAGCACAUGUAACAAUAUUACACAUUUGUUAAAUAAUAAACGUUUCGAAACACAUUUCCAAAGGCUUAGUUACUGAAAACUAGGGAGGAAAAAAAAAAAAACUAAUAGAGAGAGAGAGAGUCUAGAGCCUCUCAUAAACCCCCUCCAAAAUCCUAGCAUAGCCAUGGCGCAACGACUACUCCGCCUCCGUCGAACCCUAACCCCUCUCUCUUCAACUCGGCAACGGAGCCCCUCUCUCCCCGCCCCUAUGGCAAUCGCACCACCUGCCGCACAGACGCCCCCAAUCAUUUCUCAAUGGCGGGGAUUCUCGGGAAAGAGAGUGUCGAUGACGUCGACGGCUGCAAUAGCAGAGAAACAGUACUGGGUAUACGAGAAUUUAGGCGAAAUCACUGAGAACAAAACUCUGUUCGAAGGCUGCGCUUACAAUUACUGGCUGGUGACUGUUGAUUUCCCCAAAGAAGAACCCAAACCCUCGCCUCGAGAAAUGAUCGCUGCUUAUGAACGCAUCUGUGCCCAGGGACUCAACAGCAGGUUUCAUUUUUUAUAUUUUUUUAUAAUUUUUUAGUUUAAUUUUAAUGGCGUAAUGUGUUUUCAGUAUUGAGGAGGCGAAGAAGAGAAUAUAUGCUUGUAGCACAACUACUUUUCAAGGGUUUCAGGUUUUGAUGACGGAACAAGAGUCCGAAAAGUUUAGAGGUAGUGUUAGCUUUUAGUCACCGUCUCUAGACAGAAGAGACAAUGGGACAAUGGAGACCUUUUUUCUUUCUAUUUUGAAAGUAUACAAUUUCACUCCAAAACUAGCUAUAGAAGAGCUGUCUCCGUCCCCAUCAAUCAAACACAUUAAAAUCACUUUUGUAUCUGCCCCUUCUGUCAAACGCAACCACAUAUGAUGAUGGUUUCUUGCAUUCUGAAUUUCCAUCUGUUUUUGUGCAUUGUUAUUGUUGUUGUCCUGAAUGCUUGCUGACUGACUUUCUCUAAACAGACGUUCCGAGGGUUGUUUUUGUAUUACCAGAUUCUCCCGGAAACAAGGAAUAUGAAGGUCAUUUUUGUCUCCUUGUGAUUGAAAUUUCUUCAUUCAAUUUCAUUGUUGAAAUGCGUUGUAGUAUAUGGUCUAUUAUUCUACUCUUUUAAGGUAGUGUUAUGGCUGUUACACAAUUAGUUAAAAGCAAGUCUGAUAGUGGUUCAUUCAACUGGUGAAUUAAAAUCAUUUGAUGUCCUUUGCAGGAGACGAGUAUGAACAUAGAAUGAUCACUCCGGGACCAACCACAGUUCAAUUUCAGAGAGGGGGAGAAAGAUGCCGUGACCAGGGUAGAAUUCCACCUAGAUUUGACCAGCGAGAUAGUCCAAUUCCAAAUAAUCAAGGGCUGCAACCCCAGAAUAGUCAGCAAGGACGAAUGCCAGGAGGUGGUGGUAACUACGGGUCUCAACAAAAUGGUCCACCACAGCAAAAUCAUGGUCCUCCAGGGCCAGGAGGAAGGAUGCCGAUGAACAAUAGGGAUUAUGCCCCUGGAGGAAGGAACAUGUAUCCAGGACAAGAAGGAAAUCAUGAUCCCCCAGGACAGCAAGGUUACAACCAUGGACAGCAGCGAAAUCAUUACCCCCCAGGAGGUGGUGGAAAUCAUGACCCCCCAGGACAGCAAGGUUACAACCAUGGACAGCAGCGAAAUCAUUACCCCCAAGGACAAGGUUACAACCAAGGACAGCAGGGAAAUCAUUAUGCCCCAGACCAAAGGAGCUUUCCACAAGGAGAUUGGAGGGAUCAUGGACCUCCUGGGCAAAGAGAUUAUAAGGGAGACAACUGGAAUUAUUCUCCCACCCAUGGUGGAAACUAUGGGCAAGGUGGAAUUCCACCAAGAUUUGACCAGCGAGAAAGUCCAAUUCCAAAUUAUCACGGGCUGCAACCCCAGUAUAGUCAGCAAGGGUGUAUGCAAGGAGGUGGUAGUGCAGCCCAGUAUAGUCAGCAAGGGUGUAUGCACGGAGGUGGUAGUAACUACGGAUCUCAACAAAAUGGUUCACCACAGCAAAAUCAUGGUCCUCCAGGGCUAGGAGGAAGGAUGCUGAUGAACAAUAGGGAUUAUGCCCCUGGAGGAAGGAACAUGUAUCCAGGACAGCAAGGAAAUCAUGAUCCCCCAGGACAGCAAGGUUACAACGAAGGAGAGCAAGUAGGUGGUAGUAACUACAGGUCUCAACAAAAUGGUCCACCACAGCAAAAUCAUGGUCCUCCAGGGCUAGGAGGAAGGAUGCUGAUGAACAAUAGGGAUUAUGCCCCUGGAGGAAGGAACGUGUACCCAGGACAGCAAGGAAAUCAUGAUCCCCCAGGACAGCAAGGUUACAACGAAGGAGAGCAAGGAGGUGGUAGUAACUACAGGUCUCAACAAAAUGGUCCACCACAGCAAAAUCAUGGUCCUCCAGGGCGAGGAAGGAUGCCAAUGAACAAUAGGGAUCAUGCCCCUGGGGAAAGGAACACAUAUCCAGGACAGCACGGAAAUCGUGAUCCCCCAGGACAACAAGGUUACAACCAAGGAGAGCAGAGAAGUCAUUACCCCCCAGGACAGCAAGGGUACAACCCAGAACAGCAGGGAAAUCAUUAUCCCCCAGGACAAGGUUAUAACCAAGGACGGCAGGGAAAUCAUUACCCCCCAGGACAGCAAGGUUACUUCCAAAGACAGCAGGGAAAUCAUUAUGACCCAGACCAAAGGAGCUUUACACAAGGAGAUAGGAGGGAUCAUGAAUUUCCUGGUCAAAGAGAUUACAGGGGAGACAACCGGAAUUAUUCUCCCACCCAUGGUGGUAACUAUGGGCAAGGUGGAAAUAGUAGCUAUGGACAACGUAACCCAGGUGAAUGUCAGAGGUCUGCACAAAUGGAGCAGAUGGGCAUGCAAGGAGAGCAAGGGAACUAUGCACCAUUGGGACCACCAGGGUGGUCAAACCAAGUAAGGCACACCCCCCAUUAAGUGAUUGAACGGAACUUUUUUCUCUCUCAGUUUUUAGAUUAUCCAUAGGUGGUUUCAUAGUGCAGGUGAGGACGAAGAAUGGUUUACUGACCUUGCAUGCAUGCAUGACUUGUAGAUUUGUUUAUCGGAAGAUAGAUUAAAAUGUCAUCUUGUGUAGCUAGGUUAGCCCCUGACUGCUUACAAGUUAGAUUACUGGGAAGUUUUAUCAUCAAGAGUUUAGUGGUUACUAUUCUUCAAUUACCAAUAGAUCUCCUGGGAAACUCUGCGUGCUUGAAAGUGAAGUACACUGAUGAAAUGUGAGGAGAAGAAGCUGAACACCAUCAGUUUUUGUGAAAAUGUACAGCUUUAAGAAAGAGUUGAUUCCUUUUUGCCCUGCACCAUAUCAUCUUAUUUCUCUCGUCUUUAUUGGGUUGUGCAUGGAAGAUACUGAGAAGACUGAUGGUUCUCUGAGGUGGAAGUAAGAAUGGACUUGUAAUUCACUUUCAUCUUUCAAUUUUCAUUCUCACGAGACACAUGAAAUGAAUUGUCGAUGACUGGUUUGGUGAACAGGCUUGCCUUCAUGAGACUAGGAAAGUAGGAAAGCGGUAUUUUUCCCAUCUAUUUAACUGCUUGAGCUUUUUAGCGAGGUUGCUUGGUCAUGGCAUAUCUUCUACCACAAGCGUGCAAUCUGUCAUCUGUGUUUCAACUUUUUCCUGCCUUUUAAUAGAAGCUACUACGGAGGGGUAUAUGUUGUGGAAAGGAUUCCUAGCUAAUUUAUAACAAAAGACGAAAAGGCUUCAACAUUAUGCAUAUGUUUUCCAACAAAUAUAUGAAUGGAUAAAUCAUAUAGUGAUGAGUUGUGAACGCUAAUUAAAAAGGAAAGCGAGGAAUUGAUAUUCAUUGUAAAAACAAAAGAUAAUUACAUGUAUAACUACUUGACUUGGUGACGAGUAAUUGUUUUUUGUAUGGCAGUAAAAAUUGAUAUUCGAAAGAAAGGUAAUUCAGGAUAAAAAUAUUAUUUUUUUCAAAAUUCUCAUUUUUUAUUAAUGUUUUUUUUCUUCAAAAAAAUCUCUUUUAUUAGCAAGCAAAAUGGUUUCUUCAAUAUAGAUAAUUAAUAUAGGAUUAGAGAUUCUUUUAAAAAUGUAUAUCUCUAAUUAAAAAUUCAUUUUUUUAUUCGUAUGUUUUUUUUUAUAAAAAAACUUUUAAAGUAUAAUCUUUGAUGUAAUUGACAUUUUCUUAUUUCUCAUGAGCAUCUGUUCGUCGGAAAAAAAAAUUUACAAUAAAAAAAAAGUGGCUUUAGUUAAAGGAGGGAUAGAAACUUUUAAAUAAAGGUAAGGUUGGGAAGAUAUAGGAUUGUCUUGUGCGUAUAAAAGAAAACAAGAGGGUGUUUUUUUUUUUAAUGCAGUCCAACAUUAUACACAUGAGUUUAUCACUUUUUAACUCAUAAUUUAUAUUUACAUGAAUUAUUUUUUAAUUUUUUUAUAUGAAAUAUUAAAAUUUUAAAUAUUAUUUUUUUAAAAUUUUUCCGAGUUGAUUUAGGAUCCAACUCUUUAGUUAGUUUUGAUAACUAUGUUUACAAUAUUAGAAAAGUUUCAAUAUUUCUUCAAAGAUUUAUUUAUUUUUUUGUUUUUUAUAAAAAAAUUCAUUUGUCAAAUAUUAAUAUAAUUUCUUUAAAAAUAAUUUAAGAAGGUAUUGAUCUUUUUUCAUUCCUAUAAGAUUUUAUUUAAAAAAAAUAUUGUUUUUUUUCUUAACCAUUUUCAAAAUUUUAAUUUUAAUUAUCUUAUAUUUUAAUGCAUUUUAAUCUAAUCGGGUUAAAUUGAAUAAAUUUGAAAAACAUAAGGUGGCCAAAUCUUUUUCUCAAAUCCUCAUUUUCCUAGAUAAUACAAAUAGAAAGGUAAUUUUAAGGGUUUUUUUUUCCUUCUAAAAUGAAUAGAACGGUUCUUGAAAAUAUGAGACAGGGAUCACCACUUUAUUUUAUUUGAAAAAGGAAAAGUAGAAAAAUUAUUUUACUAAAAAAAAUCUUCAACAGAUGACAAUGAUAAAAAAAAUAUAUGACGACUUUUUUUUUUAAAAAAGGAGCAUGAGUGUAAACCCCAUAUUAAAAUUUUCUGAGUUUGUAAAUAUUAAAAUCCUAAUUUGAAAAUAAAAUGAAAUUGAAAGAUUUUUAUAUUAAUAAUAAAAUGGAUAAAAACAAUUGUGUUAAAUUAAAAAUUAGUUGGGUUGACGAGAUGAAAUACUCGGUGAAACGAAAAACAUUUAAUUAUUAAAAGGAGAGGCAAUAUUUUUCUUAAGAGGUCGAAAAGGUGAGUCUAUAAGCACCGAUGACCUCCUUUGGAAGCCAAUAGUGGCCGGCUGUUCAAAGAAGGAGAGAGGAUUUUUUUUUUUUCAAAUUUCUUCAAUAUUCUACCCAAAUUCACAUCUCCAUACAAGAAUAAAAGGGGUAAGAAGGGAUUAGGAAGAUAUUAGGCUAGGAAAAACAAUGAAAAUCUAGAGGAUUUUGACAUGGAAAGUGGUGGGUUUGAGAGGAAAAUUUAGGAGGGGAGGAAAACUUGUUUUCAUCACUUUUUUUUCUUCAAACGAUUGUGUUUAAGAGGUGAGAAGUUUGAAUUUAAACUUUAAUUAUAUGUAUAUUAUGUGAUAAUAUAUUUUUAUUAGAAAAUGCAUUAUGGAAUGUGGGUUUGAAUAAAUAAUUGAUUAAAUGCUUAAUGUAGUGAGAGAGUUUAGCUCUGCAAGCAACACUCUUAGAACUAGUACUGGGCGGCGAGGGCUGCCUGCCGCGAUGUGUGUCAUGGCGACAAUGGAACACCAGUGAGAGCCAAAACAAUUGAUGAAUUGAUUUGAAUUCUUCCCCAAUUUCACUCUAUCCUCGUGCCAUAACGACAACAACCCCCUUCACAACGAACAUCAACAUCUUUUUCGGUUUGCAGUGUUUUUUUUUUUUUAAUUUCAAUUAUAUCUGUUAGUUUAUUAGAAUUAUAAUUUUUUUCAGUUUAUUUUUUACAGGGUUAUUCUAGAAUCAUAAUCCAGAUUACAAGUUUGAUAAGUUAACUUGAGUUUUUUUUUUAAUUAAUUUUUUUAAUUUUAUUUUUUAAUAUUAGAUUUAUUGAGAAUUAGACUUUGUGAUUUUUUUAGUAUCCUUUCUAUAAAGUUAUCAUUAUCUCAUGAUUCGAGUUACAGGUUUAGUGGGUUAACCUUAGUUGACUUGAGUUGUUUUGUUUUAUAUCGAUUUUUUUUAAUUUUAUCUUUUAACACUUGAUUGAUUGAGAAAUGAAUUCAUAAUUUGUUUCAAUUUGAUUUUUAUUAGGCUAUCCUGGUUUCAUGAUCUGAAUUACGAGUUUGAUAGAUUAAUCCGGAUUUGAUGACGAAUACAUAGUCAUGGGAUCAGCAAACGUUAACAAGAUAUCCUUGGAUGGUUCAAGGGAUACAGAAAUUGCUAUGGGGGCUUACCAACCAACAUACACAUGGGCAAGAAAAAGUUCUCGUCCACAUGGACAGGUUUGAAACUUCAGCUGCCACAAAAUGUGCCCUAGUGAAGCUGGAGUUAAAUCUUCUGUUAUCAUUGACUCACAGUUGGAGCUAGUAUAGUUAAUUAUUCGAUCAUAAAGAACAGUAGAUUAAAUACAAAGGAAACAUUUCAAGCCAGUUUUCAUACCCUCAUCGUUGAUUACUUGCCUGCAGGUAUAUGGUUACCGGAUGUCUCUUUGGGCAGAGCAUCUAGGCAACCUCGAGGAAGCUUUCGGCGAGCCUCAGCACCUUGAAUGCAUGAAACGAGUGAGAAAGAUUUCCAGACACAACUGGAAAGCAUAUGUUUCCGAGGAGGGUAAAGAAAUGAGAGGACACUUGCUACAAUAUCCAAUUCAAGUGAGCAGAAGUGGAAAAGUGAGCGCAUUGCCAGGUCAUGAAACAUUUCCUGAUGUUGGUGGCAAAGUUCUUGGAUCACCCACCACCCUUCCUGAUGUUCUAACAACGUAAAUUCAGCUAAAGCUUUCACGCUAUGGAGUUCACCAUGUAUAACUUCAUCUGAGCUGCUUCUUGUUGCACAAAAUAGUGGGGAUCCUGUAGGCACAACAUUGUUGAAACAUCGAACAUGUACACAAAAGGUUGUGACUUAUUCAAACACACAGAGCUAGUGGUAGGUUUGAUGAUGUUUCAUGGCAAUGUUGCAAGAGGUUUACAAGAAUUUGGUACCAUUAUUUAUUAAAUUAAAAUAAUUAUGUGCUUGAUUGUAAUACUGAUCUUGAACAGGAAGAGGGGUCAAUUCGUUAGUAUUGUAGUUCAAGAUUUUUUAAUUAAAAAUAUAUUAAAAUAAUAUUAUUUUUAAUUAUUUUUUUAUUUUUAAUAUUACCAUAUUAAAAUCAUCUAAAAUACAUAAAUUUAAAGUAAAAAAAUUUCAGAACUAUUAAAAUGAAAAAGGUUUAUUCUAAUUAUUUCUUCUUCUUUUUUGAAUUUUGUCUAAUAUUUUAUUUUACAUUCGUCAAAAAUCUAAAUAAACAAUAAUUUAACUAGUGAAAUGAAAUAAAAUAAGGAAAUAUAAAUUAAAAAAGCAAAAUAGCAAGGGGCAUGCCCAUUCCGGCUACUCCCCUGCAUCUUUUAACCGAAAGUAAAUCAAACGUGUAAAAGAUAUAUAUUAAUUAAAUGAGGGCUACAGCACAAUGAGGACCGCAUAGCGCAGUGGAUUAGCGCGUCUGACUUCGGAUCAGAAGGUCGUGGGUUCGACUCCCACUGUGGUCGGUUAAACUACUGCGACUCAGCCUCUUUUCUUCAAUUUUUGUGAGCCAUCUAUCAGUCUCAGACAAUAAUUCAAAUAUUUUCUUUCAUAAUUAUAAUGUGCGAAAAUUUCUUUUUUUUUUCUUGAUUUUUAUGAGCCAUGAUUAAGUUUUCAGAAUUAUUUUAAUGUUAGCUGUAUCAAAAACUUCAUCCCAGCAAUAUUACCUGAGUUUCUCAUUAAAAAGAAAAUAAAGAGUUAGUUGCUAAGCCACCACCACAUACGCAGUUUGAGUCCAUGUACUGACAUAUGCAUUGUACUCAUUAAUUAUUUUUUAAAUAAUAUUUUUUAUUUAUUCAAUUACCUAAUUACCCUUAAAACAACCCAAUCAUAACAAAAAAACUAUAAUGAAAAUAUAAAAAAGCCUUGAAUAUUAGUUUAGUAAUUUUUGUUUUUAGGAUAAUUCAAUUAUUUUAUUAUGUUCAAAAAAAUAAAAAUAAAAUCUCUAGAUGCAAUUUUUUUUAAAAUAAUUAAAUUAUUUUACUAUACUAAAAAUUACAAGAAAACCAAUUUAUUUCUGAUUAAUAUGAUAAUAACAAUAGAUUCAUUCUAGCCAAUGACCAGCUCAUUAUUUUUGUCUAGGACAGACAAAUUCAUCGUUACACUGUAACGAUCAAUGCUAAACAGUGAGGUGUGUGCGUGUGUGUGUGUGUGUGUCGUGGAGGGGUAUAUUGGUCAUUAGAUAGAGAAGAAGGGAGUCGCGGGCGUGUAAUCGGGGACUCUAAAUCCCAGCAAAGCAAGCAGGUAUAAAAAGGAGUAGAGUAUUUCAUUCCAUUCCAUCACUAUCGAGGCAAAGCAGUGUAGCGGGAGACCUAAUAAGCUGCUUAACAGUCACAGAAAGACAUUCAUAACGCAGAUAGGUUAGAGAUUAUGGUGAGUCAUCUCUAUUUUUUCUCGUGAUUGUAAUUAAAAGGUUAAUGAUAAUGAUAUGAUUUAGGGUUUAUGAAUAAUGGGGGUUUUUGGGUGCAGUUGUUCUUUUCGUAUUUCAAGGAUUUGGUAGGGAAAGAAGUGACGGUAGAGCUGAAGAAUGAUUUGGCAAUUAGAGGAACUCUUCACUCUGUCGAUCAAUACCUCAACAUCAAGCUCGAGAACACCCGCGUUGUCGAUCAAGACAAGUACCCUCACAUGGUACUCUACUCCUGUUCUCUUAAACCCUAAUAAUUUCCCAAUCAUGUUUUUUUCUUUUUAUUAUUAUUAUUCCAUUUUUAACUGUAAUUACCUUCCCCUAAGUUACCAAGCUCGCAAUGUAAUGUAAUUGACUGAAAGCUUGGUAUGGAUAUUUUUUUGUACAGGAAUUAAAGUCAAAAUUAUUAGGUCAUUUUGAUGACCUUUUCUUGCAAAAAGUAAAUUAUUCUUAUAUUGGUGCAGUUCUAUUUUGUAGCUGACAUUUUGGGAUAUAUAGUAGCCUGCUUAUGAGCCAACCCUUAAAUUUCAACCACAUACAUAAAGCUAUUUGGUGGGUUUAAUCAUAUUGUUCUUUUCGUCAUCAAGUGACCCUUGGCUUCCGAUUCGUAGAGCUUAAAUUCUUUACGGACUUUUGCAAUCUUAGCUCAUUGUCUGGAUCAGCUGUGUCCAAACUAAGGCUUUUUAUUAAACACUCUUAAGAUAUUUUGAUAUGUAAAAUCAACAAUAGAACUAUCAUUUAGUGGCUUGACAUUAUAUGACCUUUAUUUGAGCUAUCCGGUAGCUCUUUUGUGAUUAUUACUGGGCUAUGUAGUUUACUUCUGAUCAUCUAUGGAUGGCUAGCUGUUAUCCUCUUAUUCUCUCUUGAGAAUUUAACUACAAGUCUUCUUUAGACUUGGAAAGCUUUGCACGCUUAGCAUGGCAACUUAGUUCUUGAAGAAAGAGUUGAGCUAUCCGGUAUCUCAUUCGUGACUUUUACUGAGAUAUCAUUUACAUCAGUUUGGAAUAGGCUCAAUCAUCUUGUGGCUUGAGCUUUCUUUUCUUUGCUAUCUAGUAGAACAAGUUAUUGAUAGCUCAACUAUCUUUCUCAUAGAGUUAUGUGCAAUUUAGCCAUCUUGAUCCUGAAGCCAGCUGUAGAUAGCUCAGCCAUCUUGUCACGUAAGUUAUUGUGACCAAAUUAUCUUUAUUUAGUAGCUUGGGUUCAGUCAUGGCCUUGGGUAUCUUGUAGACUGGGUUUUAGGUCAUCAAGCUGUCUAGUACCUUGACUUUACAAGUAGGUCAGUUAUCUCAUAGCAAAUGUGAUGACCAAGCAACCCUAGCUUUGUUUAAAAGGUUGUUUGAUGUUCUUAUAAUCAUGCGCCUAUGCUGAGCUAUCCUGUAGCUUGAUCGUCCCCUUAUUUCUCGUCUUGUGACUUUGUUGUGACUUUGUCAGGCUAUAUUUGAGUGCAGAUUUUGUUGAUUUGUUAUUCAAAGCUAUCUGGCAGCUCAUUCUUGACCCUUAUUUUAGAUAUCCUUGUCUCAUAUCUGAUCUCAGUGGUGCUAUAUUGUAGACCACUUGGCUGAAUUUGAUCGCUACACGAGUCCUUUGAGAAACAACAGCUCAUAGUGAUCAGGCUAAUCAUGAAUGGGAAAUAAACUUGUUCCCUAGGUUAGCAGAAUUUCAUACCGAGUGUGGAGAUACUAAAAUGUGAACUUUAUGACAGCAGCAUACCAGCAUAUCAUUAAUUCUGUUAUCAUGAUCAUAAUCUCCGAUGAUGUGUUAAACAUGCAACUUAUUAAUGAUAAGUUUCAUUUCCAUUGAAUCUUCAAGUUAGCUAACCAGUCCUUGUCAUUUAUAUCUGGACACGGUACUACACCAAGCUAAUUACCCUGGUAUCAAGCUGGUGCAGCUAGGUAUGUCAAGGACUUAUGUUGAGGUAGGCACUAUAUGCCAAGCUCGCCUCAGUUUGACAUGAGGCUUCCCCAUAUUUCACUCUCUCCUGGUUUAAUCAACAAAUUAAGGAGUUCAUGACUGUUGGGUAGUAACGGAGGUUUUAUUUUGCAAGUUGAUGCAAUUUUCAAGAACGACACAGCAUGUGUAUUUUUUUAAUAAUCGAAGUUUGAUAAGUGGCUGACCUGAGUUGUGAUUAUCUCGAUUUCAUGUGCUGACAAAUUGUUUUGGCCAACUCCUUGUUGUUAUUCAUGGCAAUUUUCUUGAUGAAUCAUGUUUUUAAUUGAUAGUUGUAUUUGAUCUCUUGGAUGAGCUCACCCUUUUUCUUGUUGACACCAGUGAGCAAAGUUGAAGAGUUAAAGUGUUAUUGAUGUCAUCAUGAAUUGUCAUUAUGUUUAUUCCCAUAGACAGCCAAAAUGUUUUUGGCAAAAAACAGCCAUAUUAUUGAAAAGUUAGAAUUGUUGAGUAAGGCUACUAGCUAGUCAAUAUCAAGCUCCUUCGCUGCUUCCCACAUUGAACUCAUGUGUUGUGCCUGUAAAACAAUUAAAACCUAAGGAUGGCCCAGAAGCUGUUCUUGGGAGACCACUCUGAUGCCCAAGUUAGCAAGCUUGUUAGUUGAGAGAAAGCUUGGGAAAGAUUUUUAAGCAAUUGAGUGUGCAUACCCUAAGUUAUGCUUCAAAGUCCCCUCCUUAUAAAGGUUUAACUUGCUCAUAUAGAGUUGGAUUAUGAGUAGACUUACAGGUUGGAGAUCAUAUGUAAAUCAUAUUCUGAUUAGGAUUGCAUUAUCAUGGAUCCAACUCCCUAUUCUUCUUGAAGAUCAUAAUUAUAUUAUUUUUCCAAAAUGUCAAAGUAACUAUUUACAAGAGUUUUGGGUGUUUGUUUUAAGGAGGAUGAUCUGAAGGUGGGUUGGAUGAAUUAGUUGUAAGAAAUCACACUUGCUGACAGCAUGCAUGUCAAAUAAACAUAUCACAUAUUUUUGGAAUUUUAUGUUGUGGCUGAUUUUAUAUUUGCGAUGGAUGAUGAUGUUGUGUAUCUGGUUCCUAACUUCUUAUAAAAUAGCACAUCUUGAAAAGUUUAUGCUUCUGUGCUUGCCACCUUCAAUGAGUUUGUAUUCUGCUCCUGCAAUGUUCUUUUUCUUAUUAAUAGAAGAGAGCAUUGUUUCAUUCUUUGUUUUCUCUUUCCUUUUUUCUUCUAUUUCAAAAAAGAUCAUAAAGAGGGUGGGUUUAGCAUUUGGACAUUUUUUCUAUCAAUGAUCUGGCCAAUCAUGUAUAAUUUUGCUAUAAAAACAUGUAAAACUUCUUUCUGCAAAUCAAAAAAAUUUUAAAUAGGGAUCACAAAAAUAUCCAUUCACUUCUCUGAUGAAAUUGUCAUGCAAUAUACGAGCAAGGAUUGAGAAACUGAGUAUUUGCCUUUGCCAGGAGUUCUGCUGCCAUGUCCUCUAUAUUCAUGCAUGUUUGUGUUCCUAUGAGGGUGUGUGCUAUUUUCGUUGUAUAAAUUCAUGAAAUGCACAUCUCUGGACAUUCACACACAAACGCACCCAAAGAAUGUUUUCAGGACGAGGAUUGUGUUGAGCUCUUGUUGUUGAUAUUUUUCUGUGAAUAAAUUCCCUGGGUUUACUUGCUUUAUCCUAUGUUUGCUUCAAGUUAUGAUGCCCAUAGUACUUUUAUCUUUCCCAUUUGACAGUCCUGUUCUUCUGGAUUUUUAAUAUGAUCGUGCUAGCUGGAUCUAAUGAUUUUAUGUUAAAUUGCAGCUUUCUGUGAGGAACUGUUUCAUAAGGGGAUCGGUGGUGAGAUACGUUCAACUUCCUCCAGAGGGUGUGGAUGUUGAUCUGCUUCACGAUGCCACGAGAAGGGAAGCUCGGGGUGGCUGAAAGUCAUUGGAAUAAACCUCUUCAAGUACUUCUCUAGACAUCCGAUGCAAUUGAUUUACCUUAAACAAGCUUUCUUCUCAUUCUGGAGCUGUACGUUAUUACUAGUGAUGAGUUAAUGAACAUUAGAACAUAGAAGUUAGACUUCCUAGCAAUCCGGAGAAAAUGCUAUUGGGUUGAGCAUUGACAAUUUAAUGGCUUAAAGAAGAUGAUUAAUGUGCUAAACUGAAGCUAUUCAUUGCAGAAGAUUGAGUUAAUGGCUGCUUUGCUGGAAGUUCUUCAAUUGAUUGUUUGUUGUUUUACCUCCAAGUUCUACUGUUCUAGGAUAUUAUGCCGGAUGUAAGAAUCUACUUGCUUCAUAUUUCUCAAGUCUAGCUCUUUGACAAUAACUAUAGAUAUGUGUUUAAUGUUGGAUUUUCUCACAGCUAAAUCUUUCAAGUACAAACUGAAGAGAGAAAUUUAAUUGUACGAAAUUGCAUGUGAUUCUUCGAGUCCAUGAUCAAGUACAAAGCAUGCCUCUUGAGAAAAAUAGUGCAGUACCAAAGCAAAAUUAUAAUCUUUCCAUGGAAAAACCAUGGAUUCUUGAGAAAAACACAACACCAAGAAACAAACAAAAACCAAAUUAUUAUAGUCAAUUCAAGGUCUUAUUGUAUUCUAUAUAUUAUUGUUCCAAGAUAAAAUAUAGACGACCAAAUAAUAUUAAAAGAAGGGAAAUUAUUCUUUAACAUCGUAGUUGAAAUUGCAUAAUAAUUUAUAUCAUAUAUCUAGAAGUGUGUUUGGCAGUGUGGUAGCGGUUGCUUUUCAAAUAGCUUUUCGUGCCGAAAUACAUGCUAAUGAUUUUUUUUAUUUUUUAAAAAUCAUUUUUAACAUCAACACAUCAAAACGAUCCAAAAAGUACAAACCGUACUCAAUUUUAACAAAAAAAAAAUUCAAAAUUUGACGAACAGGCUACUAAUGUGCCAAAAAAACAUCAACAGAAAUGACUAUUACUAAAAAGCCCUUGUAAUAUUUAAUAUUAUAACUUUGCUAUCAAACUAGCAUUACAUGCCAAAAAUAAAAGAAUAACCAAAACUUGAUAAUUCAUGAAACAUUUUAGAUGCAAUACAAAAUCCAUCCUAAUUUUAUGAGACCAAUUUGAAUCAAAUAGCAGCAGCUACAGAAUCUAGGAAAUUAUGACCCCAUUUACUACUUUCAGUUCUUGUUUUCAAAUUUUCUGUUUGUACUCUAUUUCUCAGAAGAAGAAGAAGAAGAAGAAGGUCGUUGGUAGCUCACCUUCCCUUGAAGUGCUGCUUCUGUCCUUUUCAAAUUUCAACAAUAGUUUAUACCAAUUAAAGAAGGUAUUGUGCUCGACCAAACUUCAGUGUUUGGUCAUUCUUAAUCAAUAAAGUCGAUUCAUAAGAUCGCUAAGUCAAAUAUAAGGAACCUGUAGAGCCUUCAAGGUUGGUUGAUGUGCCACCCACUUUGAAGGUACCCUUGUAUGUUCUGAUCAAUGAUGGAGUAGCACUAUCAUUAUUACACACACACUAGCUUUGGUAUCCACAUUUUAUGGCGGGGCUAGAUUAUUUUAUUAUUAAAAAAAUAAUAUUUAAGAAUUGAAAUAGAAUAAAAAAUAUAUAUAAAAAAUCGGAUGUUAAUUGGAAUUAAGUCAACAUGAAUUAUCUCGUUAAAUUCACAACCCAUAUUAUAUUACUUGAAUAACCUGAUAAAAAAUAAAAAAAAUUUAAAAUCUUUUUAUAUAGAAAAAAUGUGUUAACUUAAACAUGUGACCUGUAAAUCAUUGGAUUUGAAAUAAAAUAUUUCUUAAUAAAUUAAAAACAAAAUAUUUCAAUCAUACGAAAGUAUUUUUAAAAAAUAUCAAUUCAAAACAUCAAAAUCAUUAUUGCUACUAUUAUUAAUAAGUAAUAUCAUCACUAUUAUUAUUACUAUUAUUAUUAUUAUUAUUAUUAUUAUUUUUGCUAUUAUUAUUAAAAUUACUAGUAUUACUACUACUAUAAUCAUUAUUAUUAUUAUUAUUGCAAAAAUAAAAACCAUAAACUUGAUUUAAAGGAUAUAAUUGAAAACUAUAAAAACUUUGACAUAAGAGUUAAGGAAAAUAAUAAGAAAUCAAAAGAAAAGUGACCAAAUUGAAAUCAUUAUUAUCAUCAUUGAAAAAAAAAUAAACUUAAUUUGAAAGAUAAAAUUGAAAGUCAUAAAAACUUUGGCAAGAGAGAAAAAGAAAAAAAAUUAAAAGUAGAAGGACCGAAUAAAAAAAUAUUAUAUAUGCAAAUUAGAAAUAAAUAAUUAAAUUGAAAAUAAAUAAAACUUUAAUAAAAAAUAAAAAUGAUAAAAAUACAAAAAUUAAAAUUAAAAUUAAAAUGGCUGAAUCUAAAAUAUCAAUAAUAAUAAAAAUCAUAGUGUAUUUAUCAAGAUAAAAGAGAAAAAUAUAUAUAAAAAAUUCACCAAUUAUAAACCAACUAUAUUUCAACAACACAUGUCAUUCACAAUAGAAGAGAAGACUCGUAAUAAAAGAGAAGACUAUAAAGAAUGUUUAUGGUUUAUCUUUUGGACCACUAAUAACUUAUAAUUGAUUGCUAAAUGUCAUUCUCUCUCUCCCCCCUCUUUAUUUAUCUAUAUGUUUCUUCUCUUUAAUUAAUGUUUAAAUUCUUCUUUUUUAUUUGUUAUAGUUUAUAAAAUUAGAAUUAGUGAUUCUCUUUGCUCUCCCUUUUCUCUUCUUUUUUUUUUUUAAAAAGAAAAAAGUUAUUCUUUUUUAUACGUCUGAAAUUAAUAUUCUUGACGUGAGAUUUUGUGAGGCGAAAAAGCUUAAAAGAAUGAAUGAUCUUUACUCAAAAUUGGUAGAUACAAUGCAUGCUGCCUCCUCCCUUUAUAUUUAUAUUUAUUUGUAAAAUUAGAGUGAAUUAACUAAUCAUCACCACAUCAAUGGAAAAGGUAUUAUAUGUAGUAAAUGUAAGUAUAUUAAAGAAUCAAUUGGAAAUUCGAAUGGAAGAUUGAAUAGUAUUUAUAAUAAUUAAAAGAUACUGCAAUGUUCUUAAGAUAUGAAACCUAUCUUAAUUAUAUAUUUAUAUUUUUUAAACUCAUAUGAGCAUUUUUGUGUUUCUUGCAAAUUGAAACUUGGAUCCACCUAAAGCAAACCAUGAGAAAGUAAUGGUAUGUAUUUUCUUUUUCGCACCCAAAUGUUCUAGUCCCAGAGAAAGAGAAAGAGGUGAUAUAUAAUUUUAAGAAGUAGUUAUAUGAAUUAAUCUGAAUUCUAACUUAAUUUAAGACCUGAUCAUGGAUAGAUAAAUCAAUCCACAUGCUAGUAGAAUGAUCUGAGUUUUAAUUUUUAUUUUUUUUUAAAAAAACACCUAAAAUAAUAUCAUUUCAUUAAUUUUAAAAUACUUAAAAUGAUAUUAUUUUAGUAAAAAAAUAAAUGAAACCCGUUUCGAGCUAGAUUUUAUGUUGAUGGUCACUAUAUUAACCCAUAAAAUAAAGUUUUAUAACCAUGCUUAAUACUAAAAGCAUGUUGUUCUAAAAAAAAUUAAAAACCUAAAAUAACAUUGUUUUGAUAAAAAAACAAUUUAAUUUAACAAAAAACUCGGUUUAAACUAGAUUUCAAGUUACUAAAUUAACCUGUCAAGCGAGUUCUUAUAAGAAUGAUUAAUACUAUAUUCAAAAGUGUUUCUCUUUCUCUUACUACAAGCAUGCUUGCAUGAACAAAAUCAUCCCAAAAAAAAAAAAAAAGUUGGCUUGCAUGAUGGUCACUUGGGAUUUUAGAUGCUUAGGGGAGCAAAAUGAACCUUUAUUUCUCGAGAAAUGAAGGCGAGCAACCUUUGCAACAUUGUCAUAGGGCAAGUGUGGAUUUUUAAUGUAGACAUGUUGGGUUUUACAAGCAUGGAUUUUUGUUGUCUCCUUGUGCACUUUAUGUGUGGGAGUUGGCUGGCUUCAUUACCACUUUACUAUAAUGUUCUCUCUCCCUCU